rnacentral:rRNA from 1 species
UACGUAGGAGGCAAGCGUUGUCCGGAAUCACUGGGCGUAAAGCGCGUGUAGGCGGAUCGCUAAGUCUGUGGUGAAAGCGCCUGGCUUAACCGGGCGAGGUCCAUGGAAACUAGCGGUCUGGAGGCCGGUAGGGGGGGGUGGAAUUCCGGGUGUAGUGGUGAAAUGCGUAGAGAUCCGGAGGAACACCAGUGGCGAAGGCGGCCCCCUGGGCCGCGCCUGACGCUGAGACGCGAAAGCGCGGGGAGCGAACGGG